UCACUGCACUGUACGAGGGUGGGAGCCUGCAGUCCCAUGCCGCAAGGUAUGUGGAAUCCAUUAUAUGGAGAAUGGGGAAGUUUUACAACGGAGAGGAGACUACAUACAGGACCAGUCUGUAAGAGUCCGGUGUCACUCUGGCUACAGUCUCCCAAAUGAUCAGGAUACAGUUACAUGCACAGAGAACGGCUGGUCUCCUCAACCCAAAUGCAUCCGUGUCAAUAAAUCCUGUGGAGAACCACCACAUGUGGAAAAUGCUGCUAUAGUAACAAGGCACA